GAAGAUGCCUGCUGCCAUCCGCCUCAGGGGCCGUGCAGCAAUGGCACCACCAAGCUGUGGGGUGAGGUGAUGGCGGGAUGGGGUGGUUGCCAUGGCAGCAUGGCCUGCCUGGGCGCUGUCGGCCUCUAGUGGCGGCGAUGGCAGCGUGGUGCCGUGGCGGUGUUGCUGUGGGUCCCAGCAGCAUUCUGGGCUCUGCCUCCCCUCCUGGUGCUGCUGUUCAGUCUGGAUGUGGCCUCUGGGUGCUACCUCUGCCAGGAUGUCAUCCUCCUUUGAGACGCCAUUUUAGGUGGUCAUCCUCCAACAGGAUGUCAUCAUCCAUCAGGACCUCCAUCACAACACUGUCCUGCACUGGGACAUGGCCCACACCAUGUUGGCAGGGGAGCAGGAGCAGCAUGCACUGCCUUUCCCCACGUAGCACCAGCAGCAGCCAGUGUUGUUCCCUUUCCUGUGGAGGCAAA
rnacentral:lncRNA from 1 species